GACGAACGCUGGCGGCGUGCUUAACACAUGCAAGUCGAACGGAAAGGCCCUGCUUUUGUGGGGUGCUCGAGUGGCGAACGGGUGAGUAACACGCGAGUAACCUGCCCUUGACUUUGGGAUAACUUCAGGAAACUGGGGCUAAUACCGGAUAGGAGCUCCUGCUGCAUGGUGGGGGUUGGAAAGUUUCGGUGGUUGGGGAUGGACUCGCGGCUUAUCAGCUUGUUGGUGGGGUAGUGGCUUACCAAGGCUUUGACGGGUAGCCGGCCUGAGAGGGUGACCGGCCACAUUGGGACUGAGAUACGGCCCAGACUCCUACGGGAGGCAGCAGUGGGGAAUAUUGCACAAUGGGCGGAAGCCUGAUGCAGCAACGCCGCGUGCGGGAUGACGGCCUUCGGGUUGUAAACCGCUUUCGCCUGUGACGAAGCGUGAGUGACGGUAAUGGGUAAAGAAGCACCGGCUAACUACGUG
rnacentral:rRNA from 1 species